UGGGGAAUCUUGCGCAAUGGGCGAAAGCCUGACGCAGCCAUGCCGCGUGAAUGAUGAAGGUCUUAGGAUUGUAAAAUUCUUUCACCGGGGACGAUAAUGACGGUACCCGGAGAAGAAGCCCCGGCUAACUUCGUGCCAGCAGCCGCGGUAAUACGAAGGGGGCUAGCGUUGCUCGGAAUUACUGGGCGUAAAGGGAGCGUAGGCGGACAUUUAAGUCAGGGGUGAAAUCCCGGGGCUCAACCUCGGAAUUGCCUUUGAUACUGGGUGUCUUGAGUAUGAGAGAGGUGUGUGGAACUCCGAGUGUAGAGGUGAAAUUCGUAGAUAUUCGGAAGAACACCAGUGGCGAAGGCGACACACUGGCUCAUUACUGACGCUGAGGCUCGAAAGCGUGGGGAGCAAACAG
rnacentral:rRNA from 1 species